UACUCUUUUACGUUAACUAAUGGCUAAGUUCAUUGUUCGAAUCAUCUACUUGUUUUGAAUAUGAUGCCAGUAGUACGAUUGCUUGCUCGAGAAUAACUAACAUAAUAGCAUAUAAUGUUCCCACAUUUUAUACUGAUGUAUAUCUAGACAGCACGAACUUUUGACUUCAUGGGAUUACAUUCUAUUUGAGAAAACAUGGCAUUGCUUUCUCGAAUAACAUGGCCGAACGCUUCACUAGGUGGUGUACUUGCUAAUGAAAUUGUGGACCGCCUUUCGGUCUGUAUGAUGAAUUAGCAAUGUCCCGUUUGAGAUUUGUCAUGUGACCAGGUCGACAAUAUCAUAAUGAAGCCUAUGUAUAGGUUUCAACUGAAGUGCUGUAGCCAUUUCUAUUAGAAUAACUGAUCCUAAACUUUUGCCACAUACAACUGGGUAGUCCACAUCAAGGUCCCUCUAAACAUAGUUGCAUAUUAACAAUAAGCUAGCUCCAAUCACAGUUAGUGGCUAACAGAAUUAAUUAUCUUAGCAA
rnacentral:lncRNA from 1 species